UGGCAGCUUUGCCAUUUUCAUCUAAGGGCUAUUGUUAAGAACAUCUAUUGUCAAAUUGAAGAAUGCUGGUAUCACAUCUUUAAAGGAAAUGAAAAAAAUAGUAAACAACUUAUAAUUGAAUCAAUCUACUCUGGCAAAUUCACCUUUGUGUUUUCCUUCCUGUCUUUGUUCAUUUUCAUACACAUUUUUAAUAUUGAUAUAAUCAUAGAGUUGACUAACUGUGUAUCUGUACAGGUGGUGCCUUUAUGGUGGGGAGCUGUUAGCCAAAGGGAGAAGACAAAGUCAUACAGGGCUGUCCUUCCCAACUCAAUACUAGUGGCCGAACAAGAACAAUGAAGAAGAGAGUUAAUCUAUAAUUGAAGAAAACAGAAGCUGCAGGCUGGGCAUGGUGGCUCACCCUGUAAUCCCAGCACUUUGGGAGGCUGUGGUGGGAGAAUUGCUUGAGCCCAGGAGUUCAACACCAAUCUGGGUAACAUAGUGAGAACUCCACUUCUACAAAAAGAAAAUGAAAGAAGGAAAGAAAGAAACAGAAGUUGCAAACAUGUUACGUGACUCAGCCUCCAGGGCUUAAGGUCCCC
rnacentral:lncRNA from 13 species